GACCAAGCUGAAUCGAAGUGAACAAUGCUACAGCAACAUGUCGAAGUUCUUGCCUUUCUCCAAGUGGUCGCUGCCGUGUCAUGAAGAUGCGUCGUUGAGAGGGUCUCUACUAUAUUGCAAGACAAAAAUGUGAUGGAAACAAAAAAUCUUAAAUGGUUUCCAUUUUCAGUUUGAUGUUUGAGCCGCCUGUGGUGUUCCUGUUUGGUGUAACAGUGGUUUCGCAGUCAUUUUCCAUUUGAGAGAUAUUCUGAAAUGGAGCUUGUGGAGACUUGCAGUUCAACAUCAUACUAUAAUGUGUUAUUUGCCUAUGUUGGUGUCCAUGCAGUAUAUGCACUUAUGCAGUGAUGAACAGUUGGGCUAGUCAAUGUUGCCUGUGGCUGUCUGGCUUAUUUUAUCGGCUGCAUUUUGUCGAUAUGUCUUCUCUUGCUAUCUGUACCGUCGUUGAGUUGAUUCGUUUGCCGCCGUUCCUUAGACUUGAUCCACCGGUGAAACUAAGAAGACGUUGCUGAAAUUCAAGAUUGAUCAAUAAAUUAUGUAGAUAAAUUACAAGUGCAUAAUCUGGGCUCCCUUCUUCAGUGGCCCCGUUUCCCUAAAUAACCACUAACCAACGCCCGCCGGUGGUCACUCACUCGCUGCGACAACCAGGAGGAAGGGAGAUGUUUGGUCGAACGGGGACUUGCAAGGCGCAUGAUUCCAUGGUUUUGGACUUUAUUUUUAUUAGGAUGGAGAUGCUGCCUUCUUUUGUGAUAGCAAAUCGGGUCGUCAUCGUAUGAAACAUCACCACCAUGCUGUUGUAUCGGGGCAAUUGGCUGGAGAGAAGAAUACUGGCAACAAAACAUGGAUGAACAACUGCAGUGCACUGUCACCAAGUGCAUUCUUCGUCGUAUUAUUAGUACGCAAUCGGUGUCGUGCUGUUGCCGUUUGUCGUAUCGUUGAAGGUUGGGUCGAUCACUGGUGUACCCAUGUCUCCUGGGUAUGGCGGAUACCAAAGCACCACGCCGCCGCCUUGCUACACAACGACAACAUUCGCACCAACCGGUUACUACACUGAGGGCCACAAUUACUACACCACCAAGGCUCCAGA